rnacentral:lncRNA from 1 species
AAGAGAAGCAGAAGAGAAGGGGAAGAGAAGGCCUCUAAAAAUUCUCAAUUACCUCAUUGAAACACACUCUUAGUGUAUUAGAGGGGAAAUAAGUGUUGUCAUACCCCAAUUUUGUCCGGGCAUUUUAAAUUCAUCUUAUACAUGUCAAUUUAUCAAGUUUUGUAUUUUUUUUCCAUAUGCAUUGUUAUCAUCAAAUAAAG